CCCGUACUAUGAUCAUUCGGGAGAUAGAGUGUUCAGUUGAGGAGAUAGAGUUUUCCAUUUUUACUUCCUUUAGCUUAUGUUUCCAACAUUUGAGGAUAGAGUGUUCAGUUGAGGAGAUCUUGAAGCAUAAUAUCCUUCAAAGAGAUCCCCAUAAAGCUUAAAUUAACUGUAAUAGCAUCAGCUAUAUGACAUUUACCAUUCAACUUAAGAAUUCGCAAACCUAAUGGUUAAUAAUUUUUACAUUGCUCUACUUGCCAAAGGUACAAUAAUCUCUAUUUUGCAGUACAAUGGUGAGCCUCAAUUAGCCGCUUGUGCACUUUUCCUGAGAUGAACAGCUUGCAUCGAACCAACAUUUUCAACAAACUUGGAAGCCAAAUAACGCAGGACCAAUAGCGCUCCUUUGGGGUAUCAAUCGAUAUGCCUCCAUUUCUGAGAUCGGCAAAAACUGGCUCAAAUGUUAAAAACCAAAAGAGAAAAUGUAACAAACUACAUCAGAGUGGAAGAAUAGCAGAAGACAAAUGCAGAAUCAGAUAUCAGCCUAAAUCAGUAGUUAAACAGUUUAUCCUAGCACAACUGUAGAGACUAACAGUUAUGACGGUGUUUGAUAGGAUAAUUUUACCUUUCGUAGUGGGAUAGGUAUAGAAGUUGAAGUUUCGCAUGAAAGGAAACACGAUUACAUGAUUAAAGGGCAGAAGGCAUUAUAAAGAGGUGUAGAAUUGAUCUGAAAGGCCAGUUUAUAAUGUAAACUUGAAAGGUAUUUACCAGUCUAAGAAGCAAGAAACUUAAGAGUUAUCAACUUAAAACAACAGGUUGUCUGGGUUUGCCCAUAUAAAUAUGGUGGAGAUUUCCUAAUGUGAACAAAAUGAAACUUGACAAAGCAAGACAUACGAGGAAUGGUUAGAUACACCACAUGAAAAGCCGUUAGAAGGACAUUUGCAUGGAAGAUGAAGGAGAAUAUGGGUUAGGGCUGCUAGAAGAAUUACCCCAAUCAAUAUAGAUUAAAGUCGGAUCUCGAUUAUAUAACAUAGCAAGUGGAAGUAGACCUAUCUUCAGUUAUGUUGCAAUGUCAUCAGAGUUGAUGGGGCUAUGGUGCACAGGGAAGAAAGGAGGAAGAAGAAGGGGAGUGAAUGGGCCAAAAAUGCAUGAUGCAGGUAAUUAUAUAGGAAGUGGGGCCCAACUGGCGUUCAGAAACACAUCAAAGGGACGAAAUUUAAAUUAGAGAUGAAGAAGAGGAGGUAGUCAUGAUAUGGGAGUGGGAGGGGGGCGGGCUGAGCAAUUAAGAGUAAGAAACAGAAUGGCAAGGAGAAGCUAGCAAUUACUGAGCUUCAGUCUCUGUUAGCCCACGGGAGGGGAGUGUCCUACAGUAUUAAUUCGCUUGAAGUACGAAAAAGUCUCAAAUAAAGAUGUUCGGAACAUGAUACAUCAUAAAUUUUCCACUUCAAGUUGGAAAACAGUUCCAAACAUUAUAAAUACCAAAAUUUCGCUAGAAUCAAGAUACUAAUGAUAUAUUUUUUUUUUGAACAUGGAGAAGAAGAAAAAGUAAACGUCAUGACAAUUAGUUUACACCUUGUAUAGGAGAAUUUGUCCACUUUUUGCUACCAAUUAUAUUAAUUAUUGGAAAAAUAACAGUGAGCAGAAAGGCGGAUUCUUUUACCUUCAAAAUGAGAGCCAAGAGGAAAAUGCCACCAACGGAAACAUCAACAACAAGCCAGAGCUCACCCAGGUAUCUAGACCCUUAACCUUUCUCAUUUUCUCAUCCACCGAAU
rnacentral:lncRNA from 1 species